AUUGAACGCUGGCGGCAUGCUUUACACAUGCAAGUCGAACGGUAACAGGCCGCAAGGUGCUGACGAGUGGCGAACGGGUGAGUAAUGCAUCGGAACGUGCCCAGUCGUGGGGGAUAACGCAGCGAAAGCUUUGCUAAUACCGCAUAAGAUCUACGGAUGAAAGCAGGGGACCGCAAGGCCUUGCGCGAACGGAGCGGCCGAUGGCAGAUUAGGUAGUUGGUGGGGUAAAGGCUCACCAAGCCAACGAUCUGUAGCUGGUCUGAGAGGAGGACCAGCCAGACUGGGACUGAGAAACGGCCCAGACUCCUACGGGAGGCAGCAGUGGGGAAUUUUGGACAAUGGGCGCAAGCCUGAUCCAGCAAUGCCGCGUGCAGGAAGAAGGCCUUCGGGUUGUAAACUGCUUUUGUACGGAACGAAAAGGCUCUGGUUAAUACCUGGGGCUCAUGACGGUACCGUAAGAAUAAGCACCGGCUAACUACGUGCCAGCCGCCGCCGUAACAC
rnacentral:rRNA from 1 species